rnacentral:rRNA from 1 species
GACGAACGCUGGCGGCGUGCUUAACACAUGCAAGUCGAACGGUAAGGCCCUUCGGGGUACACGAGUGGCGAACGGGCGAGUAACACGUGGGUGAUCUGCCCUGCACUUCGGGAUAAGCCUGGGAAACUGGGUCUAAUACCGGAUAGGACCCUGGGAUGCAUGUCCUGGGGUGGAAAGCUUUUGCGGUGUGGGAUGGGCCCGCGGCCUAUCAGCUUGUUGGUGGGGUGAUGGCCUACCAAGGCGACGACGGGUAGCCGGCCUGAGAGGGUGACCGGCCACACUGGGACUGAGAGACGGCCCAGACGCCUACGGGAGGCAGCAGUGGGGAAUAUUGCACAAUGGGCGCAAGCCUGAUGCAGCGACGCCGCGUGAGGGAUGACGGCCUUCGGGUUGUAAACCUCUUUAAGCACCGACGAAGCGCAAGUGACGGUAGGUGCAGAAGAAGGACCGGCCAACUACGUGCCAGCCGCCGCAGUAA